rnacentral:rRNA from 1 species
CGUCUGGUUCAGGGUUGUU